UACGUAGGGCGCAAGCGUUGUCCGGAAUUAUUGGGCGUAAAGAGCUCGUAGGCGGCUUGUCACGUCGGGGUGUGAAAGCCCGGGGCUUAACCCCGGGUCUGCAUUCGAUACGGGCUAGCUAGAGUGUGGUAGGGGAGAUCGGAAUUCCUGGUGUAGCGGUGAAAUGCGCAGAUAUCAGGAAGAACACCAAUGGCGAAAGCAGCUCUCUGGGACGGUACUGACGCUGAGACGCGAAAAGCGUGGGGAGCGAACAGG
rnacentral:rRNA from 1 species